rnacentral:ncRNA from 1 species
UACCUGGUUGAUCCUGCCAGUGGUCAUAUGCUUGUCUCUAGGACUAAGCCAUGCACGUAUAAGUGUAAGCGAUUUACAGUGAAACUGCGAAUGGCUCAUUAAAUCAGUAAUAGUCUCUUUGAUGGAAGCCGCUACAUGGAUAACCGUAGAAAAUCUAGAGCUAAUACACGCCAAGGAGUCAUGGCCUAGCAUUUUUGUUGGGGCGUGCGGUAUCUAUUAGAGGCCAAGACGAUGGCGCACUAGUGUGUCUUCUUUCGUGAGUCAUGUUAACUGUACGAAUCGAGGGCUUGUUGGCAAGCGUGGAUGGUUCAUUGGAAUUUCUGCCCUAUCAACUUUCGAUGGUAAGAUAGAGGCUUACCAUGGUGGUUACGGGUGACGGCGAAUGGGGGGUUCUAUUCCGGAGAGGGGGCCGUGAGAAACGGCCACCACUUCCAAGGAAGGCAGCAGGCGCGCAAAUUACCCAAUGGCGACACGCCGAGGUAGUGACGACCAAUACCGAUGGGACCCCCUUUGGGGGCCCCAAUUGGAAUGAGUACAAAGUACAAGCCUUAACGAGGAACAAUUGGAGGGCAAGUCUGGUGCCAGCAGCCGCGGUAAUUCCAGCUCCAAUAUCGUAUAUUAAAGCUGUCGCGGUUAAAAAGCUGGUAGUGGAUUGAGUCUAGUUGCGGCCGGGCUCAGGGCU